CGGGAUCCUUGGCAGCUUGCUGCCGGGGUGAGAGUGGCGAACGGGUGAGUAAUGCGUGACCGACCUGCCCCAUGCACCGGAAUAGCUCCUGGAAACGGGUGGUAAUGCCGGAUGUUCCACAUGAGCGCAUGCGAGUGUGGGAAAGGCUUUUUGCGGCAUGGGAUGGGGUCGCGUCCUAUCAGCUUGUUGGUGGGGUAACGGCCUACCAAGGCGUUGACGGGUAGCCGGCCUGAGAGGGCGACCGGCCACAUUGGGACUGAGAUACGGCCCAGACUCCUACGGGAGGCAGCAGUGGGGAAUAUUGCACAAUGGGCGCAAGCCUGAUGCAGCGACGCCGCGUGCGGGAUGGAGGCCUUCGGGUUGUAAACCGCUUUUGUUCAAGGGCAAGGCACGGUUUCGGCCGUGUUGAGUGGAUUGUUCGAAUAAGCACCGGCUAACUACGUGCCAGCAGCCGCGGUAAUACGUAGGGUGCAAGCGUUAUCCGGAUUUAUUGGGCGUAAAGGGCUCGUAGGCGGUUCGUCGCGUCCGGUGUGAAAGUCCAUCGCUUAACGGUGGAUCCGCGCCGGGUACGGGCGGGCUUGAGUGCGGUAGGGGAGACUGGAAUUCCCGGUGUAACGGUGGAAUGUGUAGAUAUCGGGAAGAACACCAAUGGCGA
rnacentral:rRNA from 1 species